UUAGCUCAUGUUUGUAUGGAAUGGGAUGGUUUGCCUACGUUUGCCGCUAGGGACACUGUUCCGACUGCAUACAAAAUUGGGUUA
rnacentral:pre_miRNA from 1 species